rnacentral:rRNA from 1 species
CAAUGAGAGCGGCGCACGGGUGAGUAACACGUGGGAACAUGCCCUUUGGUUCGGAAUAACUCAGGGAAACUUGUGCUAAUACCGGAUAAGCCCUUACGGGGAAAGAUUUAUCGCCAAAGGAGUGGCCCGCGUCCGAUUAGCUAGUUGGUGAGGUAAAGGCUCACCAAGGCAACGAUCGGUAGCUGGUCUGAGAGGACGACCAGCCACACUGGGACUGAGACACGGCCCAG